UACGGGGGGGGCAAGCGUUGUUCGGAAUUACUGGGCGUAAAGGGCUCGUAGGCGGCCAACUAAGUCGGACGUGAAAUCCCUCAGCUUAACCGGGGAACUGCGUCUGAUACUGGAUGGCUUGAGUUCGGGAGAGGGAUGCGGAAUUCCAGGUGUAGCGGUGAAAUGCGCAGAUAUCAGGAAGAACACCCGUGGCGAAAGCGGCUCUCUGGAACGGUACUGACGCUGAGACGCGAAAGCGUGGGGAGCGAACAGG
rnacentral:rRNA from 1 species